rnacentral:lncRNA from 1 species
ACAAACAUACAGAAAAAGGGAAAGGGAAGGGGAAGGGGAUUAGCAAGGAUGAUGGAAUGUGAUGGUCAUCAUUAUACAAAAUACAUGUAUGAAGAUUUGAAUUUGGUGCCAACAUACCUUAUAUACAAACAGAGAUAUGAAAAAUUGUGGUAUAUAUGUGUAUUAAGAAUUGUAAUGCAAAAAAAAAGAGUACAUGUAUAAUGGCAUAAAUUGGCAUGAACAUACUUUAUAUACAGAGAUACAAAAAAUUGUGCUCUAUGUGUAAUAAGGAUUGUAAUGCAUUCCACUGUUGUCGUGUAUUUAAAAAAUAAAUUUGAAAAAGGGAAAUAUUCAGAAAAAAAUGAUCUGAAAUAUAGUAAUCAAUGAUUGUAGAAAAUAGUAAACAAUAUGGAUAUAAACCUAUCUAUAUAAAAUAAUGUUGUCUUUUUGCACUUAGUAAAAAGAUAACUAAAGAAUUGUCCAAUAAAAUGCUCUAUUGUACUCUAUACUAAUAUAUUAUCUUUCUUUAAAACUUAAGGUAAAGAAGUACAGUAAAACUUCAAGGGUAAAAACUAAAAUAAUGGAAUGAGGAUGUAAAUUCUAAACCAGAAAAGGAAACAAAACAGAACAAAACAAAAUUUAAUCUAGUGUCAAACAUGUAUUUAUAUGUGCAUGCAAACAC